GGGGGCGCUUCCCAGCUGUGGAACGCAGCACAGGAGCGCCAGGGGGCCACAGGAGGAGCAGCCUAGCCGACCACCUCCUCAGCUGCCGUGGAAACCGCAGAGCGGGGAUCGUGACCUGGAAGUGCUCAAUAAUAAUGAUUUUAAGACACAUUUUAAAUUCACUCGGAGCAAGUCAAAGUCCUCAAGACCUAGACCAGAUGAAGCUUUGCCACUUUCCCCGGUGUUCCCUGCCUCAUUCUCUUCAUCAACUUGUUCUAAAGCCCCAUGAGUUGAAAGGUUAUGUGG
rnacentral:lncRNA from 1 species